GGAAACGCAAUGAUGGAAAGAGUAGAUAUUUCAGACAUUUACAGAGAAGUCUCAUGAAGCUGAGAAGAGACGAUGAAAGAGAUAUCGAAGAUGGCUCCUGAGCGGUGUGCCAAGCUGAAAGAUUUUAGUGAAGCACAAAGGGAUCGCCCUUUACAGCGACAGAGUAUGGUGUAUGAGCAUACUUGAUAAGGUUUAUACUGUGAAGUAUAAGCGAAGAGAAGUGGUAACACGGUAUCAGACCCGUCUUCUUA
rnacentral:ncRNA from 1 species